UACGGGGGGGGGCAAGCGUUUGUUCGGAAUUACUGGGCGUAAAGGGCUCGUAGGUGGCCAACUAAGUCAGACGUGAAAUCCCUCAGCUUAACUGGGGAACUGCGUCUGAUACUGGAUGGCUUGGAUUUGGGAGAGGGAUGCGGAAUUCCAGGUGUAGCGGUGAAAUGCGUAGAUAUCUGGAGGAACACCGGUGGCGAAGGCGGCAUCCUGGACCGGCAUUGACGCUGAGGCGCGAAAGCUAGGGGAGCAAACGGG
rnacentral:rRNA from 1 species